CUCUAAGGCCAUGCCACCCUGAACAAGCCUGAUCCUGUCUGAUCUCGGAAGCUAAGCAGGGUCGGGCCUGGUUAGUACUUGGAUGGGAGACCGCCUGGGAAUACCAGGUGCUGUAGGAG
rnacentral:rRNA from 1 species